rnacentral:misc_RNA from 1 species
GAUGAAGAACGUAGCGAAAUGCGAUAAGUAAUGUGAAUUGCAGAAUUCAGUGAAUCAUCGAAUCUUUGAACGCACCUUGCACCCUUUGGUAUUCCGAAGGGUAUGCUCGUUUGAGUGUCAUUGUACUCUCACACUUCCGAUCGUUUGGAUCGGUAGCGGUGGACUUGGGUGUUGCUGCUUUACUGUGGCUCACCUUAAAUGCAUUAGUGCACCUUUCGGUUGGACAUAGUACGGCGUGAUAAGUGUCUUCGCCGGCACCUCACAGAGGGUGGCUGAUCGGGAGCUCUGUGCUUCAAACCGUCCUCGGACAACAGCUGACAUCUUGACCUCAAAUCGAGUAGGACUACCCGCUGAACUUAAGCAUAUCAAUAAGCGGAGGA